GCUCCUGAUAAAUGACCGUUUCCUGCAAA
rnacentral:piRNA from 1 species